CUGAAUACAAUGAGAAACCAUACUUGUUCCAUUUCAAAUAUAUGGUCAGAUUCAGACAACACAUAAAUGUUGUCUGAAAAGAUGGAAAUUUUCUAAAAUGAACCCUAGCAAAAAUUUUAGAUUUCCCUCCAACAAAUUAAAGUUUUUUCCCUCUCAAUUGCCCAAACUCUAUAGCUGACUAGUCAAUGGGUGAUAUUCAGACAACACAUCUAAGAAAUUGUGUUGUCUGAAUGAGGUGAGUUUGACUGUUUUGAUUUUAAGUCUCUUUUGGCAAAACACAAAACCUUCUUGUUUUUCAUUCCCACAAACAUUAACUCUGUCUAAAACUCUCUCAGCAACCAAAAACUCGAAGCUCACGGUGUUUGGAGGAAAACUCAGCCAUCGAUAUCUCUCAAAACUCGGCCAUCUCUCAAAUCUGAGAAUCCUUACCCAAAUCUAGUCUCUCCCUCAACCCCAACAUACUUGCUGUUUCCAUUUGCGUCUGGCUUAAUGGAAUUCUCCACCAGCGACUCAGGAGAUUAGAGGAGGCUUGACUAUUAUUUUUUCGUUUGGGUUAUUGGUAAGCCAAAACCGGGUAGAGCGACAUCAACUAUCCAAGCAUCGAGUGUUCGGAAAUCAGAUCAGACCAUCAAUUCGCAUCAUCAAUUAUUCGACAGUGUCAAGAGUGCGGAUUUGGGCAAAUCUGGGUGUCUUUAUCAGUUUAUGUUUGCGGAUCUUGGAGCCCAACACUGCAAUAGCGGCUGCAAUAUUUGAAUUAAAAGGAAAUGUUUGAGUAUCGUAGCGGAAAGCAUUGUUAACUUUUAGGUUGAUUAUAGCAAUCACAAUUUACUGGCUAUUG